AAGUCGUAACAAGGUUUCCGUAGGUGAACCUGCGGAAGGAUCAUUAAAAAAAAACAUGGUGGAAGGGGAAAAAAAGGCGGGGGGCCCUGCGCCUUUUUCCUUUUUUUCCCCUUUUUCUUACCUGUGAAUUGGGGCAUUUUUGUCCGCUUUGUACUCUUGUCGUUUUUUUAUUAUUAUUAUUGUUUCCCCAGUUGGAACAAUGCAUAAAAAAGACAACUUUCAGCAAUGGAUCUCUUGGCUCUU
rnacentral:misc_RNA from 1 species